GAUGAACGCUGGCGGCGUGCCUAAUACAUGCAAGUCGAGCGAACAGACGAGGAGCUUGCUCCUCUGACGUUAGCGGCGGACGGGUGAGUAACACGUGGAUAACCUACCUAUAAGACUGGGAUACCUUCGGGAAACCGGAGCUAAUACCGGAUAAUAUAUUGAACCGCAUGGUUCAAUAGUGAAAGCCGGUUUUGCUGUCACUUAUAGAUGGAUCCGCGCCGCAUUAGCUAGUUGGUAAGGUAACGGCUUACCAAGGCGACGAUGCGUAGCCGACCUGAGAGGGUGAUCGGCCACACUGGAACUGAGACACGGUCCAGACUCCUACGGGAGGCAGCAGUAGGGAAUCUUCCGCAAUGGGCGAAAGCCUGACGGAGCAACGCCGCGUGAGUGAUGAAGGUCUUCGGAUCGUAAAACUCUGUUAUUAGGGAAGAACAAAUGUGUAAGUAACUAUGCACGUCUUGACGGUACCUAAUCAGAAAGCCACGGCUAACUACGUG
rnacentral:rRNA from 1 species